rnacentral:rRNA from 1 species
UACGAGGGGGGCGAGCGUUGCUCGGAAUCACUGGGCGUAAAGGGUGCGUAGGCGGGUCUUUAAGUCAGGGGUGAAAUCCUGGAGCUCAACUCCAGAACUGCCUUUGAUACUGAGGAUCUUGAGUUCGGGAGAGGUGAGUGGAACUGCGAGUGUAGAGGUGAAAUUCGUAGAUAUUCGCAAGAACACCAGUGGCGAAGGCGGCUCACUGGCCCGAUACUGACGCUGAGGCACGAAAGCGUGGGGAGCAAACAGG